AUUGAACGCUGGCGGCAUGCCUUACACAUGCAAGUCGAACGGCAGCGGGGACUUCGGUCCGCCGGCGAGUGGCGAACGGGUGAGUAAUAUAUCGGAACGUACCUUUCAGUGGGGGAUAACGUAGCGAAAGUUACGCUAAUACCGCAUAUUCUGUGAGCAGGAAAGCAGGGGAUCGCAAGACCUUGCGCUGAUUGAGCGGCCGAUAUCAGAUUAGCUAGUUGGUGAGGUAAAGGCUCACCAAGGCGACGAUCUGUAGCGGGUCUGAGAGGAUGAUCCGCCACACUGGGACUGAGACACGGCCCAGACUCCUACGGGAGGCAGCAGUGGGGAAUUUUGGACAAUGAGGGCAACCCUGAUCCAGCCAUGCCGCGUGAGUGAAGAAGGCCUUCGGGUUGUAAAGCUCUUUCGGCCGGGAAGAAAUCGCGCAGGCUAAUACCCUGUGUGGAUGACGGUACCGGAAUAAGAAGCACCGGCUAACUACGUGCCAGCCGCCGCCGUAA
rnacentral:rRNA from 1 species